AUUGAACGCUGGCGGCGUGCUUUACACAUGCAAGUCGAACGGUAACAGGUUAAGCUGACGAGUGGCGAACGGGUGAGUAAUGCAUCGGAACGUGCCCGGUCGUGGGGGAUAACGCAGCGAAAGCUGCGCUAAUACCGCAUACGAUCUGAGGAUGAAAGCGGGGGACCGUAAGGCCUCGCGCGAUCGGAGCGGCCGAUGUCAGAUUAGGUAGUUGGUGGGGUAAAGGCUCACCAAGCCGACGAUCUGUAGCUGGUCUGAGAGGACGACCAGCCACACUGGGACUGAGACACGGCCCAGACUCCGACGGGAGGCAGCAGUGGGGAAUUUUGGACAAUGGGCGCAAGCCUGAUCCAGCAAUGCCGCGUGCAGGAAGAAGGCCUUCGGGUUGUAAACUGCUUUUGUACGGAGCGAAAAGGCUCUCUCUAAUACAGGGGGCUCAUGACGGUACCGUAAGAAUAAGCACCGGCUAACUACGUGCCAGCCGCCGCGGUAA
rnacentral:rRNA from 1 species